GAUGAACGCUGGCGGCGUGCCUAAUACAUGCAAGUCGAGCGAACGGACGAGAAGCUUGCUUCUCUGAUGUUAGCGGCGGACGGGUGAGUAACACGUGGAUAACCUACCUAUAAGACUGGGAUAACUUCGGGAAACCGGAGCUAAUACCGGAUAAUAUUUUGAACCGCAUGGUUCAAAAGUGAAAGACGGUCUUGCUGUCACUUAUAGAUGGAUCCGCGCUGCAUUAGCUAGUUGGUAAGGUAACGGCUUACCAAGGCAACGAUGCAUAGCCGACCUGAGAGGGUGAUCGGCCACACUGGAACUGAGACACGGUCCAGACUCCUACGGGAGGCAGCAGUAGGGAAUCUUCCGCAAUGGGCGAAAGCCUGACGGAGCAACGCCGCGUGAGUGAUGAAGGUCUUCGGAUCGUAAAACUCUGUUUUUAGGGAAGAACAUAUGUGUAAGUAACUGUGCACAUCUUGACGGUACCUAAUCAGAAAGCCACGGCUAACUACGUG
rnacentral:rRNA from 1 species